UCCAUUGGUAAGAAGUUACUCUGUUUUAUGGGGUUUGUGCCAAGUGACCACCAUGUUUUAGAUCACUGUAAAGCAUUGUUGUGAAGUAGAGUUAGUGGGCUGUGGGGUCUCCAACACUGCAGGUAUGGAAAAGGAAGUUAAGACAAGCAUCAGCCCAGAAUAGUGUAGAUAUCAUUGAUCCUGCUUUAAGAGAGGUGAUAGACUAAAUGGCCCUUUGAGGUUCUUUCUUCUCCAUUGGUUCUGUCAAUUCCUCUGUAAUCCAAGGAAAAUAAUUAUUAUACAAACAUCUGGUAGACAAAAAGCUGAAACAGCAAAGUAAGACUGACAAUGAGAAUACAAAAUGGCUAAAGGAAAGAAAGUAUGCUACCAUAGUUCAACAGUCUGAGCAGACAAUGAAGAAAAUAAAUGACUAUUUGUUUUUUACUUUAGAGACAUAGGGAAGGAAGCAAGAAAAAACACAGAAAAGAAAAAUCAUGAAUUACCCAGGUUGCAUUAGUACUUCAUUUUAGUUUACCAGUCACAUUCAGAUUUCCUUAAAAAAUAGUAUAUUUUUCCCAAAGAAGAGUAGUGUAGCUGUGAUGAAAAUAUGCCUUUUUGUUGCUAUUCAAACAGUGCCUUAUUGAAUUAAAUUUAUAAAAUGAAAGAGCGAAACACUAGAACACCUAUCAGGUGGACUCAUCGUGAAUCUUGGGUUGUCAUAUUUAACCAUAUUUUCCAAGUUAGAUGCAAGUAUAAUGAGAGCAUAAAAAGAUUUAGGAAGGAUAGAGAGUCAUAGUGAAAAGAGUGCUGAAUCACGUUGAUAAUUGUGUGUUUUACUGAAGCACACCACGCUGCUGAGACUUCAGUGUGAGCACGUUUCAGGGAGAACAAGAACAAAAGUACACAGUAAACUAUGCAGUUACUACAGAACACAUAAAUAUUCACUCAUUAAAAUAAUACAGAAAAACAACAAAUCCAUGUUAUACUGGGAUGCAAGAAGAUGAGUAAACAUUUGUUGUGGAGAGGAUGCCUCCCUAAGAAGUCGAAGAGUGAGCCAUAUGCACACCGUCUGCAAGAGACCUCAUAAUAUUCAUGAGAGGGGUUCCAAAGGAUGAAAGAGUUUCAAGGACUUCAAAAGUUUGGACCUCAUAAUUGUUUGCAGAUCUCACUUUGGAUCCCUACUCCUAUCGUUGAUGUGUUUAAAUCCAAAAGAACGAGAAAUAAUGAAGAAGAGUGAAAAACGAA